GACAGAGGUGCCGAGCGUUAGGCGGAAUCACUGGGCUUAAAGCGUGUGUAGGCGGGCGGGCAAGUACCUUGUGAAAUCCCACGGCUCAACCGUGGAACGGCUGGGUAUACUGCCUGUCUUGAGCCAACUAGGGGCGAGCGGAACAGACGGUGGAGCGGUGAAAUGCGUAGAUAUCGUCUGGAACGCCGAAGGUGAAAACAGCUCGCUGGGGUUGUGCUGACGCUGAGACACGAGAGCCAGGGGAGCGAACGGG
rnacentral:rRNA from 1 species